GGGUGAGAGAGCGCUUUUUUGUUGUUGUUGUUGUUGUGCUAAGCUAAUAGGCAGAGUGCUACAUGUAUAGCCCUAAAGAAUGUAGCAUGAUGGGCAAUGUAGUCCGUGCUGCAGCGAGAAUGGACUACCGUACCCGUUAUGUGUCUGUGAGCGAGGGAGGGAGAAAAAGGAAAAGUCAGAGUUGUCACGGAGCAAAAACGGGAGCUGGAAGCAUGUAAAUAUAAUAAUAACCACUGCAGCCAAGAAGAGUGCCUGACCAGCCCAUUUACCAGUAGUUUCCAAUCAUGUGGAGCAGCGCUGAUUUAACACCACGGGUGUGAUGAUUGGUGUUUAGCAGUCUCGCAGACGCUGUAUGAGGAUACAAACAGACGGAUGGCUGGGAUGAAUCGGGGUGUCCGGAGCUUUUACAUCACCUCAUCAUAGUAGGUCUCGAAGAAAAACACAGGCAAUUCAAACAAGCAACUGUGCUGUAGCAGGCUGGGGUGACCGGAUUGGCAUCCAUAACAUAUCUCCUGCACAUACUCAUUCAGUGCCAUUGACAGCAGGUGGAAGGUCGCGAGUUUAAUGUUGAUUUCCGUUUCCUCAGACGGGUGUGAUCCUGCAGAGUCCUUUGAGCAUCCUGGAGAGGGGGGAGGAGUCGGAGGGGUCUGGAUUAACAGUGCUGGAGGGGGAGACUCUGAGUGGUCCACAAUACGGCAUAUGUUGUCUUUAAAAGAGAUCCAUACAUUGCAUUUUUUAAAAAUAUCGGGUAUAAUACCAACGGCUCUCACACAUAGAUGACCUACCAUUUGUGGGUUUGUUUUUUUUUUCAGUCCUCAGGGUUUUUGAUGAUUUUUGGCCUGAACAUGGCAGAAGGUAAACCAAUCUUCGGGCCAUGUGCGAGCUGAUCAUAUACAAGACGCUUCCUAAUAUUCUCAUAAGAAGAGUUGACCUUGUCUCUCUUGAUAGUCUUAUCGACCUCAUUAAACACCCGCU
ensembl:lncRNA